rnacentral:lncRNA from 1 species
UCAUGCUCGCUAGGCGAAGCCCACGUGUUUUGUAAAAAAAAAAAAAAACGAAAAACGAAAAAUAAAUAAAUAAAUAAAAGAAAAAAUCUUAGACUUGGACCUCUCUCAUUUGAGCCCACAUGUCCACAAAAAUCAGGUUAUAAAUUCAGAGUUUCAGUGAAACAAAAGGCCAUUCUAUUCCUAUUACCCUGGCUGGAAAAAGAUAGUGAGAGAAG